rnacentral:tRNA from 1 species
AGGCAAUGUUGAAGCUGUCCGCUUAGUAAGCGGAAGACCAUGGGUUCGAUUCCCAU